rnacentral:rRNA from 1 species
AGUGAACGCUGGCGGUAGGCCAAACACAUGCAAGUCGAACGGCAGCACAGGAGAGCUUGCUCUCUGGGUGGCGAGUGGCGGACGGGUGAGGAAUACAUCGGAAUCUACUCUGUCGUGGGGGAUAACGUAGGGAAACUUACGCUAAUACCGCAUACGACCCACGGGUGAAAGCAGGGGACCUUCGGGCCUUGCGCGAUUGAAUGAGCCGAUGUCGGAUUAGCUAGUUGGCGGGGUAAAGGCCCACCAAGGCGACGAUCCGUAGCUGGUCUGAGAGGAUGAUCAGCCACACUGGAACUGAGACACGGUCCAGACUCCUACGGGAGGCAGCAGUGGGGAAUAUUGGACAAUGGGCGCAAGCCUGAUCCAGCCAUACCGCGUGGGUGAAGAAGGCCUUCGGGUUGUAAAGCCCUUUUGUUGGGAAAGAAAUCCAGCUGGCUAAUACCCGGUUGGGAUGACGGUACCCAAAGAAUAAGCACCGGCUAACUUCGUGCCAGCCGCCGCGGUAA